AUGGAUCUGACUACAUUACUAUUUACAGAUUUUAACUUUGAUUGCUACUGCAGUGUCAUGGUUGGUUCCGGAAGGAAGCGGCGGACCCAAGUGCAGAGCGGAAUUCGUGGUUUAUUCAGGGAAAUCCAAGAGUGGAGGUCAAGGGACAGGCAGUCGGUCCUCGAGGCGCGAACGUCGUUACAAGGAGAAUCAGAAAGGCAAGCAACCACAAUCUUACAGUGUUGCGGGAAUACUGAUCCACAGCCUGCGCUCUUCCAACCUACAAAACCAGGUGGACUGCGCAGUGAUGACGACUGUCUGACGAUCAGAAUCCCUCUUUAUCAUCCCACCCCCUCCUCUUUGUCCCUAUUCUCUCACCCUAUUCUUCGCCAUUCUCCGCUGUCCUUCCCACCCCCCCCUCUGUACCUCCCCUUCAGAAAAGACUGGGCUGGGGACUGAAGAUCUGUGACAGAGCCUCUCAUUUGUAAUCAGAUGAAAGCAGAGAUAAUCCCGCGCCUGACUCCAUCUUGUUCCCUGCUGUAGCGGGAGGUGGAGACGGGGGGGCGGGGACAGGGAGGGGGGGGUCACCUGUGGAUGUGAAGGAGGAGGGUGGCUUUCUUUUCCCUUCCGAGCCCCUGGACUGACAUGGGUGGUCUGGAGAGCUCUGAGGAUCCAUGAACUCUGAACCUGAAAGGCAGAGCAAGAGAGAGAGAGAGGGAAAGAGAAGGAGAGAGGGAGGUAGCUAUCAAGAGGAGCUCCAGGCCCAGUCUGUACUGACACUACAAGGUAAGCAGGGCUACUACCUACACUGAUCUUAUUCUUUCCUGAAUAAUUCCAGUACUGGCUGGUAAGGGUUUUGCCCUGAGACUGGCUCAGGUGUGGAGAGGUGAGGAGCAGGGUGUGGGUGGCAGGAACUGAGGCCACAGUUGGGCGCUUUUACCUCUACGGAGAGAAAACUGAGUGCUGACCCAGCAACACCCUAUUGUAAGGCCGGCGACAACCAGCUUCCUCGUGGUCUCCUAAAGAUCUCCGACGGCACAUGCGGACAGCGGUCCUCUGCUCGGCGUCCUCCCUGUCCCGUCACACGGCCGUGAUUUUUGGCACUUCCGUAAGAGGUCACACUUUAACUUGGACAAAGUCAGCUGACGGACACUCUUGUGCAGACGAAAUAUCUUUUGUAUAGAAUUGAUAUUUUCUGGCAAAUCUGUUUGUUGCAAAGAUCACUGAAGAUAUACCAGCGGAGGAUGAUGAUUGAAGCAAUAUAAAAUGUACUGAAAUAAAUGCACUUUUUAAAAUGAUGGUUAACUGCA
rnacentral:lncRNA from 1 species